AACGAACGCUGGCGGCAGGCCUAACACAUGCAAGUCGAACGCUCGUAGCAAUACGAGAGUGGCAGACGGGUGAGUAACACGUGGGAACCUUCCCUAUGGUUCGGAAUAGCUCAGGGAAACUUGGGGUAAUACCGGAUAAGCCCUUCGGGGUAAGGAAUUUAUUCGCCAUUGGUAGUGGGCCCGGCCGUCGGAGUUAGUCUAGUU
rnacentral:rRNA from 1 species